rnacentral:rRNA from 2 species
UCACUUCAGGAUGGGCCCGCGGUGCAUUAGCUAGUUGGUAAGGUAACGGCUUACCAAGGCGAUGAUGCAUAGCCGAGUUGAGAGACUGAUCGGCCACAAUGGAACUGAGACACGGUCCAUACUCCUACGGGAGGCAGCAGUAGGGAAUCUUCCACAAUGGGCGCAAGCCUGAUGGAGCAACACCGCGUGAGUGAAGAAGGGUUUCGGCUCGUAAAGCUCUGUUGUUGGAGAAGAACGUGUGUGAGAGUAACUGUUCACGCAGUGACGGUAUCCAACCAGAAAGUCACGGCUAACUACGUGCCAGCAGCCGCGGUAAUACGUAGGUGGCAAGCGUUAUCCGGAUUUAUUGGGCGUAAAGCGAGCGCAGGCGGUUGCUUAGGUCUGAU